rnacentral:tRNA from 1 species
GGCUCACUAGCUUAAAAGGUAAAGCGCCCCCCUUCAGGAGCUCCCGAGGGAGCCUUCGGGAGUUGCUGAAGGGGGAAAUCCUAGUUCAAGUCUGGGGUGAGCCACCA